rnacentral:misc_RNA from 1 species
GAUGAAGAACGUAGCGAAAUGCGAUACGUAAUGUGAAUUGCAGAAUUCAGUGAAUCAUCGAGUCUUUGAACGCACAUUGCGCCCCCUGGUAUUCCGGGGGGCAUGCCUGUCCGAGCGUCAUUGCUGCCCUCAAGCACGGCUUGUGUGUUGGGCCUCCGCCCCCCGGCUCCCGGGGGGCGGGCCCGAAAGGCAGCGGCGGCACCGCGUCCGGUCCUCGAGCGUAUGGGGCUUCGUCACCCGCUCCGUAGGCCCGGCCGGCGCCCGCCGGCGACCCCCCUCAAUCUUUCCAGGUUGACCUCGGAUCAGGUAGGGAUACCCGCUGAACUUAAGCAUAUCAAUAAGCGGAGA